AUUAAACGCUGGCGGCAUGCUUUACACAUGCAAGUCGAACGGCAGCACGGGGGUAACCCUGGUGGCGAGUGGCGAACGGGUGAGUAAUGCAUCGGAACAUAUCUUAAAGUGGGGAAUAACGCAUCGAAAGGUGUGCUAAUACUCCAUAUACUCUAAGGAGGAAAGCGGGGGAUCGAAAGACCUCGUGCUUUAAGGGUGGCCGAUGUCUGAUUAGCUAGUUGGUGGGGUAAAGGCUUACCAAGGCGACGAUCAGUAGCUGGUCUGAGAGGACGAUCAGCCACACUGGGACUGAGACACGGCCCAGACUCCUACGGGAGGCAGCAGUGGGGAAUUUUGGACAAUGGGCGAAAGCCUGAUCCAGCCAUGCCGCGUGAGUGAUGAAGGCCCUAGGGUUGUAAAACUCUUUCGUGGGGGACGAUAAUGACGGUACCCCAAGAAGAAGCUCCGGCUAACUUCGUG
rnacentral:rRNA from 1 species